CCGGCACGGGUGAGUAACACGUAUCCAACCUGCCGUCUACUCUUGGACAGCCUUCUGAAAGGAAGAUUAAUACAAGAUGGCAUCAUGAGUUCACAUGUUCACAUGAUUAAAGGUAUUCCGGUAGACGAUGGGGAUGCGUUCCAUUAGUUUGUUGGCGGGGUAACGGCCCACCAAGACAUCGAUGGAUAGGGGUUCUGAGAGGAAGGUCCCCCACAUUGGAACUGAGACACGGUCCAA
rnacentral:rRNA from 1 species